rnacentral:rRNA from 1 species
CCAAUAGCGUAUAUUAAAGUUGUUGCAGUUAAAAAGCUCGUAGUUGAAUUUCGGGAUCAAUGUUUCGGUCAUGCCGUUGGUAUGUACUGAUAUUAUUGGUUUCUCACCUUCUAAAGAACCGUAAUGCCAUUAAUUUGGUGUCACGGGGAAUUAGGACUGUUACCUUGAAAAAAUUAGAGUGUUUAAAGCAGGCUCACGCUUGAAUACAUUAGCAUGGAAUAAUGAAAUAGGACAUCCGAUUCUAUUUUGUUGGUUUCUAGGAUCGAUGUAAUGAUUAAUAUGGAUAGUUGGGGGCAUUAGUAUUCAAUUGUCAGAGGUGAAAUUCUUGGAUUUAUUGAAGACUAACUACUGCGAAAGCAUUUGCCAAGGAUGUUUUCAUUAAUCAAGAACGAAAGUUAGGGGAUCGAAGACGAUCAGAUACCGUCGUAGUCUUAACCAUAAACUAUGCCGACUAGGGAUCGGAUGAUGUUAAUUUUUUAAUGACUCAUUCGGCGCCUUACG